AACACAACGCGAAGAAAUAUGC
rnacentral:miRNA from 1 species